UCCCCGAGGGCCGGAGGCUUUUCGGUCUCCGCGGGCGCGCAGUGGGCUGUCGCUAAGGCUUUGGGGUGACUGCUUUUUCGCUGCGGGUGGCUGGGUGUCUUGCGUGGGCUGCCGGGGGAAGCCUCGGGCGGGCUCCGCCCUCCCGCCCAGCCCCCGAGGCCUUCGGAGUGGCGGUGGAGUUGGCACGGACUGCUGUGCAGGAGGCAGGUCCCACAUCUGGGGCUGGCUGUGCGCAGGUCGGCUCAGCCUCGGGGCGAGCCAGGCCUCCGAUGUGAGUCAGUGGUGUCUGGUGGGCCGGUGUCGUGCCCCGUGUGAUCCCCCUGAGUCAACCAGCCUCGGCCCCUUCAUUGGAAUAAGCCUGGCCCGCCUACCUGCGAUCUUGGUUUCAAAGAGCAGAUGAAAAAGUGCUUUGGAAGCUAUAAAGUGCAUCGUUAUUAGACGAAGUUAGCAAUGCUCCCUAAAACUCUCUGGACCUGUCACACUUCUGCUACUAGUAACGUUAGAUAAACUGCAGUGAAAUGACUCUUCAGGAAUUGGUGCACCAGGCUGCCUCCAUUUAUUCCAAUAAAAUAGCUGUAUGUUUUGAUGAAUGUAACGAUCAGCCUCCAGUUUAUUACACCUACAAGAACCUGGUCAGUGCUGCUUCGGAAUUAUCAAAUUUUCUGCUAUUACACUGCGACUUUCAAGGAAUUCGGGAAAUUGGUCUCUACUGCCAUCCUGGGAUAAACGUACCCUCUUGGAUUUUAGGAAUUCUCCAAGUCCCUGCUGCUUAUGCUCCCAUUGAUCCAGAUUCACCACCAGCAUUAUCAACUCAUUUUAUGAAAAAAUGUAAUCUACAGUACAUUCUUGUUGAAAAACAGCAAAUUAAUAAAUUCAAAUCUUCCUUUGAAAAAUUAUUGAACUAUGAUACACUUACAGUAGAACAUAAUGACUUAGUACUCUUCAGACUUCAUUGGAAAAAUGUUGAGGUGAGCUUGAUGCUAAAUGAUAGAAAAGAGAAAUACGAAAAAGAAAAAGUGGUAAACAGCACCAGUUCCGAGAAAAGCAAUGAAGAAAAGCCAGAAGAGCAUGUGGAUGUGAGGCUAAAACAUUGUUUAGCCUAUGUUCUCCAUACCUCAGGCACCACGGGGACACCCAAGAUUGUCAGAGUCCCUCAUGCGUGCAUAGUGCCGAACAUCCAACAUUUCCGGGUACUUUUCGAGAUCACACAAGAAGAUGUUUUAUUUCUAGCUUCACCUCUGACCUUUGAUCCCUCAGUUGUGGAAAUAUUUGUUGCUCUAUCAAGUGGUGCCUCCCUGCUUAUUGUACCAACUUCUGUCAAAGUGCUCCCAUCGAAAUUAUCUGCUGUUCUCUUUUCCCAUCACAGAGUGACUAUUUUGCAGGCAACACCGACAUUGCUUAGAAGAUUUGGAUCUCAGCUUAUCAAGUCAACUGUUUUAUCAGCCAGUACUUCUCUUCGAGUACUAGCCCUUGGUGGUGAAGCAUUUCCGUCACUGACUGUUCUCAAAGGCUGGAGAGAAGUAGGCAAUAGAACACAAAUAUUUAAUGUUUAUGGUAUCACAGAGGUAUCAAGUUGGGCGACUUUUUACAGGAUUCCAGAGGAGAUUCUUAACUCUACUUUGAAAUGUGAAUUGCCUGUACAACUGGGAUUUCCACUGCUUGGAACAGUAGUUGAAGUCAGAGAUACUAGUGGUUUCAGAAUUGAAGAAGGCAAUGGCCAAGUAUUUUUAGGUGGCAGAAACAGAGUAUGUUUUCUUGAUGGUGAAGUGACAGUACCACUUGGCACAAUGCGAGCCACAGGCGACUUUGUAACUGUGAAAGAUGGAGAGUUAUUCUUCUUGGGACGAAAGGACAGUCAGAUCAAACGUCAUGGCAAACGUCUUAACAUUGAACUUGUGCAACAGGUUGCUGAAGGACUUCAACAAGUGGAGUCAUGUGCAGUUAUAUGGUAUAAUCAGGAGAAAUUAAUUCUGUUCAUGGUGUCAAAAAAUGAGUUAGUAAAGAAUUACAUCUUUAAAGAACUAGAGACACAUCUUCCAAGCCAUGCAAUCCCGGAUGAGCUGGUGCUGAUUGACUCUCUACCAUUCACACCUCAUGGCAAAAUUGAUGUUUCUGAGUUAAACAAGAUCUAUUUAAACUACAUAAACUUGAAGUCUGAGCAUAAGCUCAAAGGAAAAGAGGAACUUUGGGGAAAAUUACAGCAUUUGUGGAAGUCUAUUCUGAGUCUCUCAGAAGAUUCUUUGAAGGUUCCUGAUGAGUCACUCUUCUUAAAUAGUGGUGGAGAUUCCUUGAAGUCCAUACGGCUCCUCAAUGAGAUUGAAAAACUUGUUGGCACAUCAGUACCUGGGCUUCUGGAAAUUAUCCUUAGCAAUUCCAUUUUAGAGAUUUACAAUCACAUCCUUCAAACAGUAUUUCCAGAUGAAGAUCUGACAUUUCGUGAGAAUUAUGCCACUAAAAGAAAAUUCAGCAACGUUAAUCAAGAGGAAACCACUGGAAAAUCUUUACAUCAGAAGUCAGACAUGCCUUUAAAUUUAGACAAUGGGAUAAAUGCUUUUAUGGCACUGAGCAGAGGGAGUCAGAUUUUGUCUGUGAAUGCUACUAAGUUUUUAACUAAGUUAAAACAUUGCCCUGCAGCCUAUUCUUCUGAUUUAAUUUCACAGACUGCUGUUAAAAAAGUGAAAAGCUUAAAUCCUCCAGCUCUUCUUGGGCAGUCAGAAGAUUCAACAUGUGUUGAAAAAGUUUAUGAAGAUGGAACAUCUGUGAUAACGGCUGAGACAAUGGAAUUACGAGUCAGGUGGAGGGCAGACACAGGCAAAUGUGUAGAUGCUUCACCUCUCGUCGUAAUACCAGCUGUCGAUAAGUCAUCUGCAACUGUGUACAUUGGCUCCCAUUCUCAUAGAAUGAUGGCAGUUGACCUUUAUUCUGGGAAGGUGAAAUGGGAACAGCUUUUGGGAGAUCGAAUUGAAUCCUCAGCAUGUGUGUCUAAGUGCGGAAACUUUAUUGUAGUAGGUAAGUUGGGCAAGUUUCUGAAUUUGAGGUUUAUAGAGUUAAAUUUAAUUACCUUAUGAUAAUACUAGUUCGGACUAACAGAUAAUAAAAAAACUUGUAUAUGGUGGAUUUAGUUGUUGUUGAAGAAGAAUACUUCAGCAUGUGCUGAUUCUCACAGUGUGGGCCAUGGGAUCAGUCCCUGGAUUUGAACCGAGCUGGAAAGCUGUUACCAGCUCUGUGACCUUCGACAAGUUGCUGAGCCUCUUAGAACUUCAGUUUUCUCUUGAGUUCAUGGGCAUAAUAAAUAAAACAUGUUGCUGUGUCACACAUCAUCUCAAAACUUAAUGGUUUAGAGCAACAAAUAUUUAUUGAAUUUCACAGUUUUUGUGGGUCGGGAAUGUAGGAGCAGCUUAGCUGGAAAUUCCAGCUCAGAGUCUCAUACGGCUGCAGCCAUCUGAAGGCUUGACUUGGACUGGAAAAUCUGCUCACUCACAUUGCUGCUGGCGGGAAGCUGUAGUUCUUUGUUGGAUCUUGGCAGGAAGCUUUUAGUUUCUUGACACAUGGUCCUUUCCAUAGGCUGCUUGACUACCCCAUAACCUGGCAGCUAACUUCCCUCAGAGUGAGUGAUCCAAAUGAGAGAAUGAGGAGGAAUGUUAUGACUUAGUCUCCAAAGUUGCAUAUCAUCACUUUUGCUUUAUUCUGUUCGUUAGAAGUACAUCAUUAGUCUGGUCCACCCUCAGGGGUGUUGGGGAGGGUGGGAGAUUAAGCUCUUAAAGGAAGAGUAUCAAAUAAUUUGUGGACAAAUUUUAAAACUACCACAAUCAUCUUGGAGCUUUUGAUAAGAUUAAAUGACAUAAUUGCUUAUGAAUCUCUUAGUACAUGGGUAGGCACAGACUAAGUGCUCAUUAAGUGUUACUGCUACCCAGUUUCAUUAAAGUAUGGGUGACUUCUACUCUACUAGGAAUAUGAGGGUCUAAGUGUAAUGCCUCCUUUUUAUUCCCCAAACUAUGUUAGGUUUCACUUUAUGUAGUUAUGGAAUCUGUUCAUCAAAACUUUUCAGACUAAGUGCUUAGAAAUAUAUUUCCCCUACUUGUGCUCUCCUGUCUGGGAUCUACUUGAAUCUGCGUUUCAUCCUUUCCUUUUGAACAUCUACUUUUUGAAAAUUAUGCUACAGGAAAUGUUGAGUUACACAUGUGAAUCAUGGGUAAUCCCCAUGCAUGUAAGUCAGCUCGUUGAAGUUACUGUUUGCAUCCCAAGUGUCUUGACUCAAAGCUUAUGGCACAUGGUGGUCACUUAGUACUUUAAACAUUUUUAAAAUUAAUAUAUAAUUCAUAUACAGUAAAACUCACCCUUUUAAUAUAUAGUUCUGGGUUUUGACAAAUGCAUACCUUCAUGUAAUCAUUACCACCACCAAGAGCUCAUUACUCCAAAAAAUUCUGUGUCACUUGUUAGUCCUCUUUCCUGCUACCCCUAACCCCCAGGUAAUUACUGAUUUGUUUUCUGUCCCUCUGGUUUUGCUUUUUCCAGAAAGUCAUAUAAAUGAAAUCUUACAAUAUGUAACUUUUGAGUCUGACUUCUCUUACUGAGCACAAUGUGUUGGAGAUUCAUCCAUAUUACCUAAAAUAAUAAAAGCAUAAUAUGUUAAUUAGACCAGAUGAGGCAGAGGCAGCCACUGCAGCUGUGGGGGCCAAGCCCUUUGCACAAAUUUUGUGCAUCAGGCCUUUAGUUGUAUGUAUAAGUAGUUUCCUGUUUGUUGACUAUUUUAUUGUAUGGAUGUACCACAGUUUGUUUAUCCAUUCACAUUUGGGUUAUUUCCAGUUUUUAGUAAUUAUGAGUAAUUACAAGAAACAUUUGUGAACAAGAUUUUGUAUGAAUAUAAGUUUUUGUUUCACUUAGGUCAGUACCUAGGAGGGGGAGGUUGUAUGGUAAAUGUAGGUUUUAAUUUAUAAGAAACGACCAAAUUAUUUUCCAAAGUGAUUGAACCACUUUGCCUUCUUACCAUCAAUGUAUGAGAAAUCCAGUUGCUCCACAUCCUUGUCAGCACUUGGUAUUGUCAGUUUAAUAAGAUUUUUUAAAAACGUUAUAGUCAUCCUGUUAGGUAUGCGAUGAUACCUCAUUGUGGUUUUAUUUUCAUUUCUCUGAUGAUAGUGAUGUGACCACCUUCUCAUAUACCUGUUAGGCAUUUCUAUGUAUUCUUUUGUGAAGUCUGUUCAGGUUCUUAGCCCAUUUUUUAUUUGGGUUGUUUGCUUAUUGUUCAUAUAUCGUUUUCCUAAUUUCAUUGAAUUAUCUGUAUUUUCUUUUUGUAGCUCUCUGAAUUGUU